rnacentral:rRNA from 2 species
CGAGACCUCAGGUCAGGCGGGGCUACCCGCUGAAUUUAAGCAUAUCAAUAAGCGGAGGAAAAGAAACUAACAAGGAUUCCCUUAUUAACGG